UACGUAGGGGGCAAGCGUUAUCCGGAUUUAUUGGGUUUAAAGGGUGCGUAGGCGGGCUUUUAAGUCAGCGGUAAAAAUUCGGGGCUCAACCCCUUCCGGCCGUUGAAACUGGGGGCCUUGAGUGGGCGAGAAGAAGGCGGAAUGCGUGGUGUAGCGGUGAAAUGCAUAGAUAUCACGCAGAACCCCGAUUGCGAAGGCAGCCUUCCGGCGCCCUACUGACGCUGAGGCACGAAAGUGCGGGGAUCGAACAGG
rnacentral:rRNA from 1 species